rnacentral:rRNA from 1 species
UACGUAGGGUGCGAGCGUUAAUCGGAAUUACUGGGCGUAAAGGGUGCGUAGGCGGUUGUUUAAGUCUGUCGUGAAAUCCCCGGGCUCAACCUGGGAAUGGCGAUGGAUACUGGACAGCUAGAGUGUGUCAGAGGAUGGUGGAAUUCCACGUGUAGCAGUGAAAUGCGUAGAGAUGUGGAGGAACACCGAUGGCGAAGGGCAGCCCCCUGGGUCAAGACUGACGCUCAUGCACGAAAGGCGUGGG